rnacentral:tRNA from 1 species
AAUAGCUUAAUUAUAAAGCAUAGCAUUGAAGCUGCUCUGAUAGAUUUUUAUCUUU